CCGCCGGCCCACCUACCCGGGGACCGCGCAGCGUCGCGUCCGCCCGCCCGCUCCCGUUUCGGACCGCGUCCGCUGCGCACCGGUACCGGACCGCGUCCCACGCCGCGUCGCACGCUCCCGCUCCGGAGCUGCGCCCGCCCGCAUCGGACCGAUGAGGCCCGUACUCGCGGCGCGCCCCCUUCCCCUGGGCGUUGCUGCCGGCCUCCCUCGGCUGCGGCCGGCCACCGGCGAUAGUACUGGAAACGUCCUCUCCGGUACCGGCCCCUCGCCAGCGAAACAGAGAGUUGGUUUAGCGAGAGCCCUCGCACGACUAUUACACAAGUCCAGGUUUCGUUUUACUUACCUUGACAGAAGAGAAAAUAACUACUAAGAUGUAUAUAUAUCCAUGUCCCUCCUGCGGAGCAACCUCUCCGCAGAGAUACACUUGACCGGGCUGCCAGUGGCUUUAUCGUAGGCAGCCGCCAACCAAUUAUUUCCAUCCCUAACAGGGAAUUAAUUCAUAAGGGUGGCAGGCCUUUAUGAACAGCCUCUUUACGUAUUUUUACUUACAUACAUCUUGAUUUUAUAUAAAUUUAUGUAGGUAAGAAGGCUGCUCAUAAAAGCCUGCCUCCCUCAUACAAUUAAUUAGAAUUAUUAGCAGUUGGUUACAUAUGGGGAAUCGAUCUAAAAGAAACAGGAUUGUGUUUUACCUCGAAGACGGAAGAAGACCGACCUGUGGACCCAGGUGGUAGUCCGUGAGCGAUUGCGGAAGAGAUCAUACAAGUGGGUGAAGUGACUAGAUUUAUAAUAUGAAGGAAACAGAAUUUUAUUCACAGAGUUGAAACAUGAUUGAAAUUUUUUUAAGGAAUAUAUUGUGACAAAAUUUAUAACUAAGGAAUAAAUUGUGAGGUUUUUUUUAAGAAGGGAUUUAUUGUGGUUCACAUUAAAAAAAGGGAAAGAUUGUGAAGCAGUUCAGGCAAUCGUAUACAGCAAUUCUAGACCUAACUGACUACAGUCAUAAAAGAGCAACCUGUUUUAAUGGGGAAACUCCUUUUUCUUUUUGUCUCUGGUUUGGCUAGAGAGAUAAGAGAGGGCUGGGCUGAGAAGAGUAGGGGAAAGAAGGGUUGGGAUCUCCGUCGCCGCUUGGAGGGUCCGAAUCGCCGCCGCCUCCCGAUACCUACCGCCGUCAAGACGCCUACCUCUGCCGCAGCGCCUGCUGCCGGUACCGCGCCGACGCCUGCACAGUACCGAACGGCUACCGUGGCCGCCCCGACUCCAGUCCAGUUAGGUCCCGCAGCCCGAUCGGAGCCCGACGCCACCCCAACUCGGUCGUAGCCCGGUCCGGCCUCUGAACCGAUGUCGACCGAGCCCGGACCGGCCACCGAGCCGACGUCGACCGAGCCCGGUCCCGCACCUUCACCGACCCCAGAGGCCGCUCCCGUACCGACCCAGCAAGAACCGUCGUCGAAGUCCGGUCCUGCCAUGAGUCAACGGCGGUCGUUGUACCCGCACAGGUCUACCCUACCUAGGUUUAAGCUCAAUAAACGAGUUUUAAUUUAACAAACCGUUGGGUUUCUUUCGAGCUUUCCUGUAUUUUACAAAAACAAAACUCUUCCAGUAGCUAACACUGAACUGUUUAAUAUUCCUAAACCAGCUCAGUUAACAUCUCGUCAUGGGCGGCGCAAUAAACCUUCAACGUGUACAUUAACAGGUACCUCCUAUCUACGAAGAUGCUGGCUCCUAUUCACAUGAUAUUACCACUUCUUUUUGGGUACACCGGUACUAACGAGAUCAUGUUCUUCCUUUUUCUUCUACUUUUUACGUUGGUUCAUAACCUAUACACUAUUCCACUUCCUAACCGACUAACUUCUACGAUGAGAGCCUCGCUUCCGUAACGUGUUUUUCUAAUUUCUUGUGGUGUUCCAACUGUAGGUGAUGUUCUCCCAUAUAUACCCAUUCUUCGAUCGAGACUUUCUUGAUAUACCACUAACCCUAUCGUCGAAACUGUUAAACAUAUCCAAAUUUCGUGUUCAUCUUUAGAGAACGGGACCAUCGUAUCACGUCUAGCUAGUAAAGUGAUAUUUUCUUUUUUUUAUCCAAAUCUUCCAAGAAGAAACGAAACUUUGGAACGUAUCUACCUAAGGAAUCACCAACGUCUGGCGUAAACCGUCAUCUAUCGUGUAAAAAUUGUACGUCCAAAUUCCCCGUCGAUCGGUCACGAUGGCGACAUCUACCGGUAUUAACCUACAUAGGUGAAACAAAACCUUAAAAACUAAGGCUUUGUUUACUCUUGACCUAGACCAAGUACGUUAACGAAUCCGUUAGGUAUCCUAGCGGUUCCCCAAAUCGGUAUUCGUGACUACGACCCGUCCGCCACUACUGUCCCCAUUUCCUUCAAAAGGGUCUCCAUCUUGUAUCCCUUACGUACAAGGUGAACCACAGUUUGAAGUUCUUUUUCAUAGUGCCUUUCCAUAAACUACUGGUAGAAACCCAACAACGAAUGAGUACCUUGUUCAUAUAUAAACUGUUUUUAACCCAACGUUACCUCUGUCGUUUCGGUCGCCGUUGAUGUAUAGAAUCCUUCACCGUGUGAUCCAACACCUGAUCCUCAGUCAAGAGUUGGUAAACAUUCCACCUGACACAUUGGUUAUUGGACCGUCUCACGAAGUUAUUUACCUAAUUCGUGGUGUUCAGGAACUUGAACCUACUGAAUUACCUGUUCGAAUCCGUCUACUAAUACUAGUACACCUUAGCUUCCUCUUUUCAUCGUUUCUUCAAUCGACCGAAUAAUUAAAACGGGGAGUAUUACUUCUUCAACUUACGUUUCUCAUCUCUCAAUUUGAACCUCCACCAUCUUUCGAGUCUUCUUCAACGACUUCAAUGAGUUAACCCUCCGUCACCCAGAAACAGCAGUUGAACGUACUGUUGUGUACAAGAACAUCUGUUACCGUUCAAAGGCCGGAAGGAACGUUCGUACGAGAUCGUAAGUAGUGUAGUGAACAGUUACGUGUAUAUGUCUUAAUACACCUGAGCAUAAUGAGGUAACUGUUCAAAUCCAGUCGAAUACCGGUUGAUUAGGGACGAUACAAACUGUUCUGGGUCACCGGACUUAGAUUGGUACCUAAGAAGUACGUAGGUGGGAUCAAUUUUCAACAUCAACCAGCCGGGGUUUGACUCUCCGUAUUCCCAACACCACUCUUUUUCCCCCUUUCACCGGUCGUGAACACGGGAUAAACGUUCCUUAUGCCCGUGGUAACCGUAUUCACAUUCUUCCCAUUGUUUCUACUGUAACGACGAAAGUACCGACACUCUCUUGGUGGUUUCUUCUCCUCCUUCUGAUGAUUUUGUAGGCUCAGUAGGUAACACGGUUCUCCACUACUGCGCGGCCGUUGGCGAUACAUAAAAGGUCGUUCCCGGUGUUCCUUCUACCUCGAACGAUUUUUCCUAGUUUUGUUAGGCUACCACGGUAAACUGUCGGGACGUUACCCGUGAUCUUCGUUUUUUCGAAUGGGUUGAUCGGGACGUUACCCGUGUUCUUCGUUUUCCGCCGAGUCGAACACUUGAGGUAGAUUAAAGAAAGUGAAUUACAGUGAAAACAACGACGAGUACAGUACAACACACCUGAACCUCAUUACAUACACUUGGACCCAUACUACACUCGGUGAAAACCCAACGAUUAUACUACAUACACACCUGAACCCUCAUUACAUACACUUGGACCCAUACUACACUCGGUGAAAACCCAACGAUUAUACUACAUACACACCUGAACCUCAUUACAUACACUUGGGCCCAUACUACACUCGGAGAAAACCCAACGAUUAUACUACAUACACACCUGAACCUGAAUACAUACACUAAGACC
rnacentral:rRNA from 1 species